rnacentral:rRNA from 1 species
UGCAGUCACGGGGGCUCCGCAAGGGGCAACCGGCGAACGGGUGCGUAACACGUGACCAACCUGCCCUCGUGUAGGGGAUAGCCGAGCUAACGCCCGGGUAAUACCGCAUACGGUCGCUGAGCGGAGUCGCUUGGCGAAGAAAGCUCCGGCGCACGGGGAGGGGGUCGCGGCCUAUCAGCUAGUUGGUGCGGUAACGGCGCACCAAGGCGACGACGGGUAGCUGGUCUGAGAGGAUGGCCAGCCACAUUGGGACUGAGAGACGGCCCAGACUCCUACGGGAGGCAGCAGUGGGGAAUCUUGCGCAAUGGCCGAAAGGCUGACGCAGCGACGCCGCGUGUGGGAGGACGCCUUUCGGGGUGUAAACCACUGUUGCCCGGGACGAACACGGUUCUUUGGAACCGCUGACGGUACCGGGUGAGGAAGCACCGGCUAACUCCGUGCCAGCAGCCGCGGUAAUACGGAGGGUGCGAGCGUUGUCCGGAAUCAUUGGGCGUANAGGGCGCGUAGNNGGCCCGGUCAGUCCGUGGNGAAAGCGCGGGGCUCAACCCCNNCGUCGGCCAUGGAUACUGCGGGGCUGGAGCACUG